CAUCGGGAGAGGAACAGCAGGGAGAUGCUGGGGGCUCGGUUUUCAGUGCAGUUCCUAGCAAGAAAUUUCUCCAUGUGCAUGGAGCAUUUUCCCGGGUGCGUGUGCGUGUCUUUUUUUCGUCCCUCUCGGGAUUGGACUAAGUCUCCCCCCCCCCACACACACACACACACACACACACACACACACACACACACACACACACACACACACACGCCGCAGGGUUGCGCAGCGUGAUGUAAUUUCUAGGUAGCACUCCUGUUUCUCUGCCCCUCAGAUCCAUGAGGCGGGGAGGUGGUCUUCUCACCCUCCUCCUUGGCCUGGUCCUACCGGAUUUCCAGACUUAGUGUAAACAAAAAUCCUGAGAUUUUUCUCCAAGGUACUUGGAUUUCACAAGAACACAGGUUUGCAUCAUCCGGCUGGGUGGUUUGGCAUUAGUUUGCUGUCUCGUGAAGAUUAAAUGUUCCAGAGCAAUUUUGUCACUGCUGGGAAUCAACUAAGAAAAUAAUUUCUUUCAGUAAAGACUUGAGAA